GAUGAACGCUGGCGGUAUGCUUUACACAUGCAAGUCGUACGAGAGUUUUUAACUCAAGUGGCGGACGGGUGAGUAACACGUAAGAAUUUGCCUUUAGGAGGGGGACAACAACUGGAAACGGUUGCUAAUACCCCAUAUGCUUUCGAGUGAAACGGUUUUUCCGCCUAAAGAGAAGCUUGCGGCUGAUUAGCUUGUUGGUAAGGUAAUGGCUUACCAAGGCGACGAUCAGUAUCUGGUUUGAGAGGACGAUCAGACACACUGGAACUGAGACACGGUCCAGACUCCUACGGGAGGCAGCAGUGGGGAAUUUUCCGCAAUGGGCGAAAGCCUGACGGAGCAAUACCGCGUGAGGGA
rnacentral:rRNA from 1 species